rnacentral:rRNA from 1 species
GUCGAACGCUGGCGGCGUGCCUAAUACAUGCAAGUAGAACGCAGUUGCGAACGGGUGAGUAACGCGUAGGUAACCGCCUCAUAGCGGGGGAUAACUAUUGGAAACGAUAGCUAAUACCGCAAACUGUGAGAUGGACCUGCGUUGUAUUAACUAGUUGGUGGGGUAAAGGCUCACCAAGGCGACGAUACAUAGUCGGCCUGGGAGGGAGAACCGCCGAAACGGGAAUGGGACACGGCCCAGACUGCUUCGGGAGGGAGCAAUAGGGGAUCUUCGGCAAUUGACGGAAAGCUGACCGCGCAACGCCGCGUGGGUGAAAAAGGUUUUCGGAUCGUAAAGGUCUGUUGUUCGGGGAGCGGUAACUAACCAGCAAGGGACGGCUAACUACGUGCCAGCAGCCGCGGUAAUAC